rnacentral:rRNA from 1 species
GAUGAACGCUGGCGGCGUGCUUAACACAUGCAAGUCGAACGAAGCACUUUAACCUGAUUCUUCGGAUGAAGGUUUUUGUGACUGAGUGGCGGACGGGUGAGUAACGCGUGGGUAACCUGCCUCAUACAGGGGGAUAACAGUUAGAAAUGACUGCUAAUACCGCAUAAGACCACAGAGCCGCAUGGCUCGGUGGGAAAAACUCCGGUGGUAUGAGAUGGACCCGCGUCUGAUUAGGUAGUUGGUGGGGUAACGGCCUACCAAGCCAACGAUCAGUAGCCGACCUGAGAGGGUGGCCGGCCACAUUGGGACUGAGACACGGCCCAGACUCCUACGGGAGGCAGCAGUGGGGAAUAUUGCACAAUGGGGGAAACCCUGAUGCAGCGACGCCGCGUGAGCGAAGAAGUAUUUCGGUAUGUAAAGCUCUAUAAGCAGGGAAGAAAAUGACGGUACCUGACGAAGAAGCACCGGCUAACUACGUG